UACGUAGGCAGCAAGCGUUGUUCGGAGUUACUGGGCGUAAAGAGUGCGUAGGCGGUGUCGAAAGUUUGGCGUGAAAUCUCCCGGCUUAACUGGGAGGGUGCGCCGAAAACUGCGGUGCUGGAGUGUGGGAAAGGCAAGCGGAAUUCCUGGUGUAGCGGUGAAAUGCGUAGAUAUCAGGAGGAACACCAAUUGCGAAGGCAGCUCGCUGGGACGUGACUGACGCUGAGACGCGAAAGCGUGGGGAGCAAACAGG
rnacentral:rRNA from 1 species